rnacentral:lncRNA from 1 species
CGAGUCUCUGUCUGUGUCCCUCUCUGUUACCAUGAGUCUUAGCGCCUUUGGGUUUAUGUCUCUGUGUCAGUUCAUGUCCUCUUUAUGUCCCUCUCUGUGUCACCCUCCUUCUGUCUCUCGCUGUAUCCCUCUUUGUGUCUCUCUUCACGUCCCCUGUCUGUCUUACUGUGUCCCUUCAUGUCCUCUUUAUGUUCCUUUGUGUCUCUCUUCAUGUCCUCUUUCUGUCCCUCUUUCUGCCCCUUCCACUCUCUUUGUGUCUCUUUGUGUCCCUCUUCAUGUCCCUUUGUCUUUCUCUUCAUGUCCUCUUUCUGCCCCCUUUCUCUCUCUUUGUGUCCCUCUUUGUGUCUCCCUUCACGUCCCCUGUCUGUCUGUGUCCUUUUUCUGCCCCUUCCACUCUCUUUGUGUCUGUCUCUUUGUGUCCCUCUUCACGUCCUCUGUCUGUCUCUGUGUCCUCUUUCUGCCCCCUUUCUCUCUCUUUAUGUCCCGUCUUUGUGUUUCUCUCUGUGUCCUCUUCAUGUCCCUUUGUCUUUCUCUUCAUGUCCUCUUUCUGCCCCCCUUCUCUCUCUUUGUGUCUCUCUUCAUGUCCCCUGUCUGUGUCCUCUUUCUGCCCCCUUUCUCUCUCGUGUCCCUCUUUCUGCCCCUUCUCUCUCUUUGUGUCUUUCUUCACGCCCCCUGUCUGUCUCUGUGUCCUCUUUCUGUCCCUCUUUGUGUUUCUCUCUGUGUCCUCUUCAUGUCCUCUUCUCUUUGUGUCUCUCUUCACGUCCCCUGUCUGUCUCUGUGUCCUCUUUCUGUCCCUCUUUCUGCCCCCUUUCUCCCUCUUCACAUCCUCUUUCUGUCCCUCUGUGGUCGAUGCUCUGGACGCUGAGGGACACUUUGACGUGCUCACAGUGAUUUAGCAUAAUUGCUGCCUGACAUAUGCUAACAUGAUGCUAAUUAGCAUGAUGCAGUUGAAUGAAUAAUUAAAAUGAACAGUUUUAUCAGAGAAACACAGGAAGCGCCCAAAAACAUCAAGAGCAGACGUCACAUCUCUUCAUCUCUGAGCGACCGUCAGACGGCUGCUGUCCUCUGACCGGGCCGGGACGGACCGUCGACGGCUCUCUCAGAGACCAGAAGGACGUUUCUGUCCAGAGCUGAGAGGCGAGCAGGGCUUCAGAACCGCA